UUCGUGUGUGACUGUUCCAAAUUCCCGACAGCCUGCGGUCAAGUCCCUUCCUUGAUUCCGAUAGAGGACAAAAAACUGUCAUACCAAACAAAGGUGUAGUUUUCCUGUCAGUUUGAUAACAAAACUCUACAUAUAGCUAAGGAUCUUCCUUCGUGACUCAGGUAAAAUACAACAAAACAAAUCUCUGUGAACUUAACACUCACCUCUCACCCCUAGAUCUGCCACCCACCCCAGCAAUGUCACCUUCAGUCACCCAGAAGUAGUCAUGCACAAAUAAUUAUCUAACGGAAUACAGGACAUGAUAUAUUUCUCAAACUGCUCUUAACCAACGGAAUAAAUGACCUCACUAGCUUAAUUUACUUUAAGUCAUCUACUUAGUUAAAAUAUUUAUUAUGUCCAUGGAGGAAGAAUUCAUCACAUCUUACCCUUCACAAUUAUGAGUAAUUAAGCGCUCAACUAUGAAACUGCUGAAUUAUUCUUGUCAGUGGGCAUGGAAAUAACUUCCUGUGGGAGAUGCAGAAUUCAGACAUUUGUGAUUAAAUAUUUUAUUAAGUAAAAACCAAUACUGGACUAUUACAAGGACUUACUGUUAGUUACUACAAAUUGCUCACAGCACAGAUCCUUCAAAUUUGUUCACUAAUAUUAAUACAAAUUUAUUUCUGAAAGCAGACCUUGAAAUCCAGCAUUAAGAAAUCUGCAAAGCCUCUCCUUUGGCCUUAACCACAGCUGAUAGCAAUGAGUUAGCAAUGGGUGAUUCAUCCAUCCCCCUCUUUCACCCCACCCCAAUCCCAUUUAUUUGCUUCUCUACCACGGAACUGGAAUUCUUUAUGCAACAGACCUCAAAAUUGCUUUCCACUUAUAUAGCUAAACUAAAAACUCAUUUGAUUUAGCUUUGUUAAUAUUUUAUUAUAUAUUAACUGGGGAUAAGACUUAUCAGCCUGAUUGAUGUGUGUACUUAAUUCCAAGGCAGCAUUUCUGUGUUUUCCCUGGAAGGGCUGGAACAGUGCGUUCCUAAGUGGGAACUGGUUCUGCAUUAGUCCGGAGAACAGCAUCUCUCAGGGCAAUGGUUCCUGCCUUAACUGUUCUCUGCACAGCAUAAACUUCUCUGGAUCUUGGAAGAGCUGAGGCAUAUUUAGGAUGAACUAAAAGGGAAACAUUUCAUAGGGCACAGAUUAAAAAAUCUUUCACAGUUAAAUAUUUUAAAAAAAUUAUUAGAAAUAGACACCCCAAUACUUGGUAGUGGUUUUAUAUACUAAACAGGCAACAAAUGGUUGGUUUUGUUACCAGAAGUAACACAUCAGCAGGAAAUCUAUAAGCCUGUUGAGGUAUAAAGAAGCAAAGGAAAAAUGCAAAAAGAGGUCUGACACCAAAUCUCUGGCUAUAAAUUCCAGGUAAGUUAAAAAUUCCUAGCCAGGGAACAGGACCACAAUUGCAAUGAGAGAAAAAGCCAUGGGGAUAAUUUAAAUUCAGAGCCACAAAACAUUAUUGCAAGGAACCUUAAGGCACAUUAAGGCCAACAUGCCCCGUUUCACAGAUGAAGAAACCAUCCAGAGACGCUGGCUGAGCUCAGUGGUACCAACCAGGGAGCUCUAGAGCCAGUGCUAUAACCCGGAACUUAAGAAAACCAGUGGAGUCCUCUUCCACAUACAGUCCAUUAUCUUUCUAAAUAACUUAACCUCUCGAGGGAAGUGAUCAAUUUGCCACCAUUUCUGCUGAAGGUGGAGCAUGUAGAAAUGAAAUCACCCUGUAGCUUAAGUCACCAUCAGACACCUCUUAUCUGUUCAAUAUCAAACUAACGGGUCUCUCUCCCCCUACUCUCCCAAAGUGUUCCUCCCCCAAUCUUUUCCAUCCCAAUAAAUUCAUCCAGAAACCUAGUAGUUAUCCUUGAUUUCUCACUUUCCCUCACCAUCCCCACAUCUCUGUUAACCAUCAAAUCCAGUAAUUUAUAAUUUCAAAACAAAAUUUAUUUAUUUAUUUAUUUAUUUUUGUAAACCAUCUUUUUCAAAACAAAAUUUAAAUGUUUCAAAUCUGUUUUACUCUCCAACCUGAACUGCUGCUAUAGACUCCCAAUAAUAGGACAUUAUUCUUGUCCUAUUAUUCCAGUUUACUGUACAGGCAAUAGCAGGAGUUUUAAAAAGC
rnacentral:lncRNA from 1 species